AACGAACGCUGGCGGCAUGCCUAACACAUGCAAGUCGAACGAAGCCUUCGGCCUUAGUGGCGCACGGGUGCGUAACGCGUGGGAAUCUGCCCUUUGGUUCGGAAUAACAGCUGGAAACGGCUGCUAAUACCGGAUGAUGACGAAAGUCCAAAGAUUUAUCGCCAGAGGAUGAGCCCGCGUUGGAUUAGGUAGUUGGUGGGGUAAAGGCCUACCAAGCCGACGAUCCAUAGCUGGUCUGAGAGGAUGAUCAGCCACACUGGGACUGAGACACGGCCCAGACUCCUACGGGAAGCAGCAGUGGGGAAUAUUGGACAAUGGGCGCAAGCCUGAUCCAGCAAUGCCGCGUGAGUGAUGAAGGCCCUAGGGUUGUAAAGCUCUUUUACCCGGGAAGAUAAUGACUGUACCGGGAGAAUAAGCCCCGGCUAACUCCGUG
rnacentral:rRNA from 1 species